rnacentral:SRP_RNA from 1 species
ACCAGGCAUAGUGGCCCAUGCUUGUAAUCCCAGCUACUCGGAAGGUGGAGCCAGGAGGAUAGCUUGAGCCCAGGAGUUCUGGGCUAUAGUGUGCCAUGCAUUAGGUGUCUUCACUAAGUUUGGCAUCAAUAUGGUGACCUCCUGGGAAUGGAGGACCACCAGAUUACCUGAGGAGGGGUGAACCUGCCCAGGUCAGAAAUGGAGUCAAAACCCUCAUGCUGAUCAGUAGUGGGACCGUGCCUGUGAAUAGGCACUGCACUCCGGCCUGGGCAGCAUAGCGAGACACUGCCUCU